AAAGACUUAGUCCUAACCUUACUGUUAGUUCUUGCUGAACAUACACAUGCGAGUAUCCGCACCCCAGUGAAAAUGCCCAUAGGCUCCUUACCAAGGCAAAAGGAGUAGGUAUCAGGCCCACCCUCUCGUAGCCCAAGACACAUUGCCUCGCCACACCCCCACGGGUAUUCAGCAGUAAUUGACAUUGAGCUAUGAGCGUAAGCUUGACUUAGUUAUAGCAACUCAUUAGGGCCGGUAGAUCUUGUGCCAGCCACCGUGGUUACACAAGAGGCCCAAACUAGCCGUAUCCGGCGUAAAGAGUGGCACCACGCUAUCGCCCCAACUAGGAUUAAAGCGCAACUAGGCUGUCAUAAGCUCACGAUGCGUCCAAGAUUCACCACUAAAGACGGUCCUAGCCACCACGACCGACCAAGCGCCACGAAAGCCAGGACGCAAACUGGGAUUAGAUACCCCACUAUGCCUGGCCCUAAAUCCAGAUGUCUCAUCCUACCAGACAUCCGCCCGAGAACUACGAGCACAUACGCUUGAAACUCUAAGGACUUGGCGGCACCCCAAACCCACCUAGAGGAGCCUGUCCUAUAAUCGAUAACCCACGCUACACCCGACCGCUCCUUGUCAAGGCAGCCUACAUACCGCCGUCGCCAGCUCACCUCACCUGAGAGACCAGCAGUGAGCACAAUAGCAACCCCGCUAGCAAGACAGGUCAAGGUAUAGCCUAUGGACCGGAAGAGAUGGGCUACAUUUUCUACCCUAGAAAACCAACGGAAGGGGGAAUGAAAUUGCCCCCGGAAGGCGGAUUUAGCAGUAAAGUGGAAUAACAGAGUCCCCUUUAAACAGGCCAUGGGGUGCGUACAUACCGCCCGUCACCCUCCUCAUGAGCUACUGAUCUAAAGAUCCCUAACACAAUCGUAAGCCAAAGAUGAGGUAAGUCGUAACAAGGUAAGUGUACCGGAAGGUGCACUUAGCACA
rnacentral:ncRNA from 1 species